rnacentral:rRNA from 1 species
AGCGAACGCUGGCGGCAGGCCUAACACAUGCAAGUCGAACGAACUCUUCGGAGUUAGUGGCGGACGGGUGAGUAACACGUGGGAACGUGCCUUUAUGUUCGGAAUAACUCAGGGAAACUUGUGCUAAUACCGAAUGUGCCCUUCGGGGGAAAGAUUUAUCGCCUUUAGAGCGGCCCGCGUCUGAUUAGCUAGUUGGUGAGGUAAAGGCUCACCAAGGCGACGAUCAGUAGCUGGUCUGAGAGGAUGAUCAGCCACAUUGGGACUGAGACACGGCCCAAACUCCUACGGGAGGCAGCAGUGGGGAAUCUUGCGCAAUGGGCGAAAGCCUGACGCAGCCAUGCCGCGUGAAUGAUGAAGGUCUUAGGAUUGUAAAAUUCUUUCACCGGGGACGAUAAUGACGGUACCCGGAGAAGAAGCCCCGGCUAACUUCGUG